AUGGAUGAACCACCCUCUGAUGUGCUCGCAUUCUUGCGCCAGCACCCCAGCUUGAGAUUACUGCCCAACACCCACAAGGUUUGCUGCUCCCUAACUGGCCAUGAGCUGCCCUGCCGUCUGCCGGAGCUCCAGGUCUACACCCACGGCAAGAAGUACCAGCGGCUGUCAAGUGCCUUCUCUAACUUCGAUUACGCAGCUUUCGAGCCACACAUUGUGCCCAGCACAAAGAAUCGGCACCAACUGCUCUGCAAACUCACCCUGAGGCACAUCAAUAAGUCCCCAGAACAUGUGCUGAGGCACACCCAGGGCUGGAGGUAUCAGAGAGCACUUCAUCAAUAUCAAGAGUGUCAGAAACAAGGUGUGGAGUAUGUCCCUGCCUGCCUUCUACACCAGAGGAAGAAGAGGGAGGACCAGAUGAAUGGUAAUGAGCUCCCAGGCCAGAGAACAGGUUUCUGGGAGCCAGAUUCCAGUGACGAGGGAGGCGCCUUGAGUGACGACAGCAUGACAGACCUAUAUCCACCUGAGCUGUUCACAAAGAGAGAACUAGGCAAGCCUGAGAACGGUGACACUCCUGAAGACUUUCUGACAGACCAACAGGAUGAGAAGCUGGAGUAUUCAGAAGAGAAGAGCACUAGAGAGAGAGGAGAGGCCAGAGUGGGCCACAAGAGGGGCUGUAACCUGAGGAAGAAACAGCUCACCUCCUUGACCAAGAAGUUCAAGAGCCAUCACCACAAGCCCAAGAACUUCCUUUCCUUUAAGUAG